AGCCACAACAACCUUUGACUUGGCCACAGCCACAACAACCUUUGCUUCAACCUCAUCUACAGCCACAACAAUUUUUGCCCCAGCAUCAACCACAACAACCUUCACCCCAGCCUCAGCCACGACAACCUUCACCCCAGCCUCAGCCACGACAACCUUCACCCCAGCCUCAGCCUCAGCCACGACAACCUUCGCCUCAGCCUCAGCCACAGCCACAACAACAUUCAGUGCAGCCUCAGCCACGACAACCUUGGCCUCAGCCACAGCCACAACAACAUUCAGUGCAGCCUCAGCCACAGCAACCUUCACCUCAACCUCAGUCACAGAUAGAACCACC
rnacentral:lncRNA from 1 species